rnacentral:rRNA from 1 species
UACAGAGGUGGCAAGCGUUGUUCGGAAUUACUGGGCGUAAAGGGCGCGUAGGCGGCCUUCUAAGUCAGACGUGAAAUCCCCCGGCUUAACCUGGGAACUGCGUCUGAUACUGGAUGGCUUGAGUAUGGGAGAGGGAUGCGGAAUUCCAGGUGUAGCGGUGAAAUGCGUAGAUAUCUGGAGGAACACCGGUGGCGAAGGCGGCAUCCUGGACCAUUACUGACGCUGAGGAGCGAAAGCCAGGGGAGCAAACGGG